rnacentral:lncRNA from 1 species
CCAAAAUGUAUUUGUUUUAUUUUUGCAAUAUCACUUGUUGCAGUUUAUGUUUGACUGAAACAGCAGAACAGUGCACAGUUUUCCCGGUGACCCUGAACGCAACACAGAAUCCCCCGUGGAGCCGGCGGAGUGAAAGAGGAGCCUCGCGGUCCGCAGACGGUCUCAGGAGCUGGAUCACGGUUCAGAGGUGUUCAGGGUCCCCUUCAGAUGACUUCCGGUAAUGAAUCCUCUUCUCCUGCUCACCGCUCUGCUGUCUUGUUGUCCAGCCUUCGAGGAAAAAAUGGGGCCUGUUGUUUUCAGGAGUCCGCAGGCUCCGCCCCCCCAUAUCCAACUAGCACACGGAGUCAUCCUUUCUCUCUUUCACCCCGACGGAGAGCUGCAGACCUGUUGGCACAGGAGAAGGCUGCCGGAGAGAUUCAUGUCCCACAAUCCAUUAGCGGCGCUGUCAGGAUCCCGUCCGCCCGGUUCGGAGCCGGAAGAGUCUGUUAACCCCCGAGGCGUCUUCAGAGAGGACGUGUGUGUCCAGAGAGGACGUGUGUGUCUAGAGAGGACGUGUGUGUCCAGAGAGGACGUGUGUGUCCAGAGAGGACGUGUGUGUCCAGAGAGGACGUGUGUGUCUAGAGAGGACGUGUGUGUCCAGGACGUGUGUGUCCAGAGAGGACGUGUGUGUCUAGAGAGGACGUGUGUGUCCAGGACGUGUGUGUCCAGAGAGGACGUGUGUGUCUAGAGAGGACGUGUGUGUCCAGGACGUGUGUGUCUAGAGAGGACGUGUGUGUCUAGAGAGGACGUGUGUGUCCAGAGAGGACGUGUGUGUCUAGAGAGGACGUGUGUGUCCAGGACGUGUGUGUCCAGAGAGGACGUGUGUGUGUCUAGAGAGGACGUGUGUGUCCAGAGAGGACGUGUGUGUCUAGAGAGGACGUGUGUGUGUCCAGAGAGGACGUGUGUGUCCAGAGAGGACGUGUGUGUCUAGAGAGGACGUGUGUGUCCAGGACGUGUGUGUCCAGAGAGGACGUGUGUGUCCAGAGAGGACGUGUGUGUGUCCAGAGAGGACGUGUGUGUCCAGAGAGGACGUGUGUGUCUAGAGAGGACGUGUGUGUCCAGAGAGGACGUGUGUGUGUCUAGAGAGGACGUGUGUGUGUCCAGAGAGGACGUGUGUGUCCAGAGAGGACGUGUGUGUCCAGGACGUGUGUGUCCAGAGAGGACGUGUGUGUCCAGAGAGGACGUGUGUGUCCAGAGAGGACGUGUGUGUCCAGAGAGGACGUGUGUGUGUCCAGAGAGGACGUGUGUGUCCAGAGAGGAC